GACGAACGCUGGCGGCGUGCUUAACACAUGCAAGUCGAACGGUGAAGCAGAGCUUGCUCUGUGGAUCAGUGGCGAACGGGUGAGUAACACGUGAGUAACCUGCCCUUGACUCUGGGAUAAGCGUUGGAAACGACGUCUAAUACCGGAUACGAGCUGAGACCGCAUGGUCAUCAGUUGGAAAGAUUUUUUGGUCAAGGAUGGACUCGCGGCCUAUCAGCUUGUUGGUGAGGUAAUGGCUCACCAAGGCGACGACGGGUAGCCGGCCUGAGAGGGUGACCGGCCACACUGGGACUGAGACACGGCCCAGACUCCUACGGGAGGCAGCAGUGGAGAAUAUUGCACAAUGGGCGCAAGCCUGAUGCAGCAACGCCGCGUGAGGGAUGACGGCCUUCGGGUUGUAAACCUCUUUUAGUAGGGAAGAAGCGAAAGUGACGGUACCUGCAGAAAAAGCACCGGCUAACUACGUG
rnacentral:rRNA from 1 species